GUCAAGUCAUCAUGGCUCUUACGUCCUGGGCUACACACACGCUACAAUGGGAUGGACAAUGGGCAGCCACACCGCGAGGUGGAGCGAAUCCCUUAAACCAUCCCCCAGUUGGGAUUGCAGGCUGAAACCCGCCUGCAUGAACGCGGAGUUGCUAGUAACCGCAGGUCAGCACUACUGCGGUGAAUACGUUCCCGGGCCUU
rnacentral:rRNA from 1 species